UACAGAGGGGGCGAGCGUUAUUCGGAAUUAUUGGGCGUAAAGGGCGCGUAGGCGGCUUUUCAAGUGACGGGUGAAAUCCCUCGGCUUAACCGAGGAACUGCCUGUCAGACUGGAAGGCUUGAGACCGGGAGAGGUGAGUGGAAUUCCCAGUGUAGCGGUGAAAUGCGUAGAUAUUGGGAGGAACACCAGUGGCGAAGGCGGCUCACUGGACCGGAACUGACGCUGAGGCGCGAAAGCGUGGGGAUCAAACAGG
rnacentral:rRNA from 1 species